GAACGACUGAGCCACAAACAAUUCUAUUCCGUCACUAACAAAGUGUCGGAUAGCCCAAGAAUCGGCGGCCGGGUCUCCAGAUGCACAUCCUUGGUAAGAAAUGUCAAAAAAAGGGAAAAGGCGUUUUCUCUUGAUGACCCGGGCGAUCU
ensembl:ncRNA C14E2.9 ncRNA